rnacentral:lncRNA from 1 species
UUAUAAUUAAUUAACCUUGGUGGUGGCUAGAAUCAGCGUAAAAUUGACUUGAUACUAAGAACAUAUAGAAAUCCACCUUACUCCAUGUGAGAGAGUAAUGAGUGUUGCAGUCAAAUUAAGAUCAUUAUUGGGCAUACAUGCUAGUUGACAAGAAGUAUGGAGAAGAAAGCAGAAUGCUGGCCAAUCCCCCAUCUCUAAAAUCUUAUCCUACUUUCUCUUCAUCAAUCACCAUCAUCAGUGGUCAGUUAUGCUAGAAAAUCAUGGGGAGGUGACGACUGAUCAUAUCUUUCCACCUCCCCCACGCUCCUUUUCUCUCUCAAUAGACCUCAGCUUAUCUCCGCCGUGAAUCUUCCAAUACCCCACACCAUGCAUGUUGUUAUAGACUCGUUCAAUCAAUUCCCAUAACUAAAGGUAUUCAUCUUUUGUAGAGAAGGUAUUCGAUCCUAAUCUUGAGGCAUUAGCACAGCCAGAAUAUUUAUUUUCACUUUAUUAUCUAAAUUUUGAAUCUAAAAAGAGACUGAAAGAAGGGGGAAAAUAUAUACGAGAACACGGAGGAAACAUCAGUGCCAAGACCAAGAACAGAACAUUAGUGGCAUAUCUGUUGUUCCAUAUAGAUUCCAACUCAAAUUAUCAAGCUGCAUUAGUCUAAGCAUAUCUUUCUGUGAUCCAAACGAAUUGGAAGGCAUACAUCAAUUGGAUAGAACAGGCUGCAAAAAGCCAAAUACCAUUCCAUCAACUGGCAGAGGAGCCCCAGUUCUAUCGAGAGAAAGAAUAAAGACAACUAGCUAGCUAUAAUUGGCAUCGUCGCA